AAUCGAAGAAUUUGGAAAACUAGCCGGAGUUCGAAUUAAUAAAGACAAAACGGUGAUCCUAACAAAGAAUAUCUCACUAGAAGACCAAGUAAUCCUAAAAAAGAUCUCAGGGUUAGAAAUAGUAAAAAAAUUUAAAUAUCUAGGCAUUUGGGUGGGAAAAAAAAAUAACCAAUUGUUGGAGCUAAAUUACGGGGCCAAGUGGAAGGAAAUAAAGAAAGAUCUAGAAAAUUGGAAAAGCCUAAAUAUGUCCUUAUUGGGGAGAAUAGCGACUGUUAAAAUGAACAUCCUUCCCAAAUUACUUUAUUUAUUUCGGAAUAUACCCAUUAUUAGGAAUAUGAAGAUAAUUAAAGGCUGGAACAAAGACAUAAGUAAAUUUAUAUGGAAUAAUAAAAAACCCAGAAUUAAAUUAGCAACAAUGGUCACUCCAAAAUUAAAAGGUGGAUUCGGCCUCCCAGAUUUUAAAUUAUACCACGAUGCAUGCGCAUUAGACUGGAUUCGGGACUGGAUAAAAUUGGAGAAAGUCAAAAUACUAACCCUAGAAGGGUUUGACCUGAGGAGAGGUUGGCAUGGCUAUUUGUGGUGUGACAAAUUCAAAAUUGAAAAAAACUUCGGAAACCAUUUCAUUAGAUCAUCCCUAAUUAAAGUAUGGUUAAAAUAUAAAAGAUAUUUUUUAUGAAAAAACCCCACUCUGGUUUUCACCAUUAGAAGCGCAUCAGAGAAGGCUUUUAGGUUGGAACAAAUGGCCCACAUAUAGGGAGAUUCUAAAGAAACCCUACACAAUGGAAGGGACCUCUCAAAUCAAGGAAUUAAAGGAAAUUCAAAAAGAAUACAAGAAUGUAUCUUGGUUCCAGUAUUUACAGAUUAAAGAAAGUUAUAAGAAGGAUAAAGAAGUGGGUUUUAGUAUAAAUAAUGGUUUUUGGGACAAUCUACUUCAAAAAAAUAGGAAAAUUAUAACAAUAUUAUAUAAUAAAUUACUGGAUUGGACAACAGAACAAGAAGUGGUUAAAGAGUCCAUGCUAAAAUGGUCAAGGGAUGUAGGCAGACCGAUUUUAAUGUGUGAAUGGGAAGAAAUUUGGGGGGAAAAAAUUAAAUACUGUCUAGCAACUGACCUUAAGGAAAAUUGGUUAAAAACAAUCCAUAGGUGGUACUUAACACCGAAAAAAAUGGGCCUAAUGUUUAAAAAUGCAGACAACAAGUGUUGGAGAUGUAGGGAACAGGUAGGUUCAUACCACCAUAUGUGGUGGAGUUGCAAGAACAUUAGAAAGUUUUGGAAAGUAAUUAAUAUUGAAUGUGGGAAAAUCUUAAAAAAUAAAUUGGAAUGCAAACCGGACAUUUAUCUAUUAGGUUUAUAUCCCAAACAGGAUAAUGAAGGGAAAGGAAAAAAGGAGAACAGAGAGAACAUGGAAAAAACGGACUGGUCGAGCUUUGAAAUGUAUUUGCAAGAAGAACUAAGAAGAUGAAUUAAACAAAUGGAAAUAAUAGGAAGAUGGAAGAGUGGAAGUCUACACCCCCCCCCAUCCCCUCCCAGUUAGGUACCUUUUCCCCUCUCUUCCCCCUUUCCCCAUUUCCCCCCCCUGUGUUCCCCAGAUCCUCCCUUUGUAUUUACUACUUUAUAGUUGUAGAUACAGUUAGAACCCCCCUCCCCCUGAUAUCUAGAGAAAGUAGAUACCUCCCCCACCUUAUCCAAAUUUUACCAUACCCAUCUAUCCCACCACACUUACCUCAUUCUUUCCCUUAGAUUCGAAUUGUAACAAAACUCAAUAAAAAUUAUAUUAAAAAAAAAUACGCAGUAAUGCUAUGUAGUAAUUACUUUAUUUACGAAUUUAGCACCAAAAUAUCACGAUGUAUUGAAAACAUUGAUUACAAAAAUGCUUGGAUAAUCCAGAAUGUUGGAUAAGUGAGUGUUGGAUAAGUGAGACUCUACUGUAAUCCUGUUCAAAGCAGAUAAU
ensembl:lncRNA